GAGUAACACGUGGGCAAUCUGCCCUGCACUCUGGGACAAGCCCUGGAAACGGGGUCUAAUACCGGAUACGACCAACUGCCGCAUGGUGGUUGGUGGAAAGCUCCGGCGGUGCAGGAUGAGCCCGCGGCCUAUCAGCUUGUUGGUGGGGUGAUGGCCUACCAAGGCGACGACGGGUAGCCGGCCUGAGAGGGCGACCGGCCACACUGGGACUGAGACACGGCCCAGACUCCUACGGGAGGCAGCAGUGGGGAAUAUUGCACAAUGGGCGAAAGCCUGAUGCAGCGACGCCGCGUGAGGGAUGACGGCCUUCGGGUUGUAAACCUCUUUCAGCAGGGAAGAAGCGCAAGUGACGGUACCUGCAGAAGAAGCACCGGCUAACUACGUGCCAGCAGCCGCGGUAAUACGUAGGGUGCGAGCGUUGUCCGGAAUUAUUGGGCGUAAAGAGCUCGUAGGCGGCUUGUUGCGUCGGAUGUGAAAGCCCGGGGCUUAACCCCGGGUCUGCAUUCGAUACGGGCAGGCUAGAGUGUGGUAGGGGAGAUCGGAAUUCCUGGUGUAGCGGUGAAAUGCGCAGAUAUCAGGAGGAACACCGGUGGCGAAGGCGGAUCUCUGGGCCAUUACUGACGCUGAGGAGCGAAAGCGUGGGGAGCGAACAGGAUUAGAUACCCUGGUAGUCCACGCCGUAAACGUUGGGAACUAGGUGUUGGCGACAUUCCACGUCGUCGGUGCCGCAGCUAACGCAUUAAGUUCCCCGCCUGGGGAGUACGGCCGCAAGGCUAAAACUCAAAGGAAUUGACGGGGGGCCCGCACAAGCAGCGGAAGCAUGUGGGCUU
rnacentral:rRNA from 1 species